CUUGCAAUCAAUAAGAGGUCCAGCCUGCCCAGUGACUCUGUUCAACGGCCGCGGUAUCCUAACCGUGCAAAGGUAGCGCAAUCACUUGUCCUUUAAAUAAGGACUAGUAUGAACGGCACCACGAAAGCUAUACUGUCUCCUUCCCCUAAUCAGUGAAACUAAUCCCCCCGUGAAGAAGCGGGGAUAAUUUUAUAAGACGAGAAGACCCUAUGGAGCUUUAAACACACAACAAUUGUAACGGGCCCCCCUCCCCCCUUCCCCGGAAGAAACUGCCUACCCGAACAUUUUGAUUGUAAGUUUUAGGUUGGGGUGACCGCGGAGCAAAAAUUAACCUCCAUAGUGAACGGAAUUCUUUUCCCUAAACCCAGGGCCACAGCCCUAAGGAUCAAUAAAUUGACACCCAUUGACCCAAUACCUUUGACCAACGAAC
rnacentral:rRNA from 1 species